UACGUAGGGUGCAAGCGUUAAUCGGAAUUACUGGGCGUAAAGCGUGCGCAGGCGGUUAUGUAAGACAGAUGUGAAAUCCCCGGGCUCAACCUGGGAACUGCAUUUGUGACUGCAUAACUAGAGUACGGUAGAGGGGGAUGGAAUUCCGCGUGUAGCAGUGAAAUGCGUAGAUAUGCGGAGGAACACCGAUGGCGAAGGCAAUCCCCUGGACCUGUACUGACGCUCAUGCACGAAAGCGUGGGGAGCAAACAGG
rnacentral:rRNA from 1 species